AGGGAUAUAGCUCAGUGGUAGAGCGCAUGCUUAGCAUGCAUGAGGUCCUGAGUUCAAUCCCCAGUACCUCCA
rnacentral:tRNA from 1 species